GUGCCAGCCGCCGCGGUAAUACCGGCAGCCCGAGUGAUGGCCGAUCUUAUUGGGCCUAAAGCGUCCGUAGCCGGCCACGCAAGUCCAUCGGGAAAUCCGUCAGCCCAACUGACGGGCGUCCGGUGGAAACUGCGUGGCUUGGGACCGGAAGACCCGAAGGGUACGUCUUGGGUAGGAGUGAAAUCCCGUAAUCCUGGACGGACCGCCGAUGGCGAAAGCACGUCGCGAGAACGGAUCCGACAGUGAGGGACGAAAGCCAGGGUCUCGAACCGGAUUAGAUACCCUGGUAGUCC
rnacentral:rRNA from 1 species